GAAGCGCGCCACACCCGGCUGGCAACAUCCAGCUCCACUCCGAAACUGGAAAUUAAGCAGUCGCGGGCCACAUCAGUACUGGCGUGGGCGACUUCCCGGGAACGUGCGGUGCUUGCUUCUUUUUCCUUUUUGCGCGGUGCAGGGCUAUUGCCCUGCACCAAUACUACACUCUACACCUAUGUUUGUCCCUGCUAAAACUCUUAUAUGUUGAGAAUUUUUAUAAUUUUAUAUUUUUUAUUAAAAAAUGAAAAUUUUUCAUAAGCGAGACUCCUCCGCUGGAGGAAAUUGAGAGUGGUAAUGUAGUGUGAAUAGUGUGUGACGAACAAUCCUUUC
rnacentral:rRNA from 1 species